GGGAGCAUAGCUCAGUGGCAGAGCAUUUGAGUGCAGAUCAAGAGGUCCCCAGUUCAAAAAUGGGUGCUCCCU
rfam:Alligator mississippiensis ScZkoYb_5762, whole genome shotgun sequence.